rnacentral:rRNA from 1 species
UGAGGAACAUGACCUUCGGCGGGGGAUAGCCGGCCCAACGGCCGGGUAAUACCGCGUACGACCACAUGGGGACAUCCCUGAGUGGUGAAAGCAGCAAUGCGCCGAUGGAGUGCCUCGCGGCCUAUCAGCUAGUUGGUGAGGUAACGCUCACCAAGGCGACGACGGGUAGCCGCUGAGGAGGGUCGACCGGCCACACGUGGGACUGAGACACCGGCCCAAGACCUCCCGUAACGGGGGAGGNAACGCG